rnacentral:rRNA from 1 species
GAGUGCGAUCAUACAAGCAAUAAUGUAUCGGAUUCCAUCAGAACUCUGAAGUUAAAGUUGUUUGAGAGAGAGCAGUACUAGAAUUAAUGACCUCCUGUGAAGUCCUCGUGUUGCACCCCUC